GUGUUUGCUUCGGCAGCACAUAUACUAAAAUUGGAACGAUACAGAGAAGAUUAUUAGCAUGACCCCUGUGAAAGGAUGACAUGCAAAUUUGUGAAGUGUUCCAUAUUUUU
ensembl:snRNA U6 U6 spliceosomal RNA